CCUUAGAGUUUGAUCCUGGCUCAGGAUGAACUCUGGCGGCACGCCUAACACAUGCAAGUCGAACGGAGUUUAGAGGAGCUUGCUUUUCUAAACUUAGUGGCGGACGGGUGAGUAACACGUGAGCAACCUGCCUUUCAGAGAGGGAUAGCUUCUGGAAACGGAUGGUAAUACCUCAUAACAUAUCGUGAUGGCAUCAUCGUGAUAUCAAAGAUUUAUCGCUGAGAGAUGGGCUCGCGUCUGAUUAGCUAGUUGGUGAGGUAACGGCCCACCAAGGCAACGAUCAGUAGCCGGACUGAGAGGUUGAACGGCCACAUUGGGACUGAGACACGGCCCAGACUCCUACGGGAGGCAGCAGUGGGGAAUAUUGCACAAUGGGCGCAAGCCUGAUGCAGCGAUGCCGCGUGAGGGAAGAAGGUUUUCGGAUUGUAAACCUCUGUCAACAGGGACGAAAAUGACGGUACCUGUGAAGGAAGCUCCGGCUAACUACGUGCCAGCAGCCGCGGUAAUACGUAGGGAGCAAGCGUUAUCCGGAAUUACUGGGCGUAAAGGGCGCGUAGGCGGAAAGGCGUGUCGGAUGUGAAAUCUCCGGGCUCCACCCGGAAAGUGCGUCCGAAACUACCUUUCUCGAGUUCGGAAUGGGGAAUCGGAAUACCAGGGUGUAGCGGUGAAAUGCGUUGAUAUCCUGUAGAACACCGGAGGCGAAGGCGGAUUCCUGGUACGAUACUGACGCUGAGGCGCGAAAGUCGGGGGAGCAAACAGGAUUAGAUACCCUGGUAGUCCCGACCUUAAACGGUGUACACUCGGGGUAGGCGGAUUUCAACCCGCCUGUCCCUUAGCUAACGCGUUAAGUGUACCGCCUGGGGAGUACGGCCGCAAGGCUAAAACUCAAAGAAAUUGACGGGGGCCCGCACAAGCAGAGGAGCAUGUGGCUUAAUUCGAUGCAACGCGAAGAACCUUACCUGGGUUUGACAUACAGCUGCACGGCCUAUGAAAGUAGGCUUCCUUCGAGGGUGCUGUACAGGUGCUGCAUGGCUGUCGUCAGUUCGUGCCGUGAGGUGUUUGGUUAAGUCCACCAACGAACGCAACCCCUUUGACCAGUUGCCAGCGGGUGAUGCCGGGAACUCUGGUCACACUGCUCGUUUACGCGAGAGGAAGGUGGGGAUGACGUCAAGUCAGUAUGGCCCUUACAUCCAGGGCUGCACACGUGCUACAAUGGCGCAUACAGAGCGACGCGAGACCGCAAGGUGGAGCAAACCGCACAGAGUGCGCCUCAGUUCAGAUCGGGGUCUGCAACCCGACCCCGUGAAGUCGGAUUUGCUAGUAACGGCGUAUCAGCUACGACGCCGUGAAUGCGUUCCCGGGCCUUGCACUCACCGCCCGUCA
rnacentral:rRNA from 1 species